GAGAAGAGAGAAGCCAGGACCCCUGGUGAAGGGAUCAUGCUGAGCCCCUACACAGCUGCAGGCAGAGGACUGGUCAUGAAGGAAAGGUGGACCUUGUUUGCAGCCAGUUGUUCAGAAGUACAAGUGGCCUGAAACCCCUGCAAUCCCUGAAACCACCUUCCUGGAGCUUGUAACUGGUGUCUGCAGUGCAGGGGCCUCAGGUGGACCAUGCCCUUAACCUGUGAAACCUGACCUAAUGCUGAGGAAUGAGUGUCAGAAUUGCAUUGAGACCAAGUUCAAAGCGAAGGUGACGAUACAGGGCCCGUGGCUCAGAGAGACACGGAUUUGGGACGGGAGGCUGCACAGAAUGGCUGCAGAGGGCACAGAAGAAACAGCGGGCAGCCUGCACACCUCCUGCAACCGAGGAGCUGCAAAGGCAAAGGAGGCAGCAUGUGUGGGAUGAGAUGGUCAGAUGGUCAGAUGGUCAGAUCCCAGGGUCCAGGUCCAGCCCAUGCUGAGAGACCAGCGGGAAGAGAAUUCUGCACAGGGAACAGCCCAUACCAGGGCACAGGGGUGAGAGAGCACACAAGAAUGUGAUGAGACAGACAUGGCUGAAGCAACAGGACUCAUGCCUGGGCUGGUGGGGC
rnacentral:lncRNA from 1 species